AACACAUUUUUUUCCUGAAAGUGUUUUUGAAGUUAAGCACUACUAAACAAGCCAACUCACCGCGUUUCAAAUAAAUAUCUAAGCUCAAACCCUAUUCCACCCCGCAGUCGCCGAUAUUCGUGAUAAUGUGCUCUUUUCAGUAGUUGGAAGAAAUUUGAUAAGAAACAGUUUGGCAGACUUGAAGCAUUCCGUUACUUUACGAACUGUUUAAACGGAAAGCUCUGUUGUGCUGCCCUGCUGUUCCGAAGACGGUGGAAGGAAGAUUACUAAUGGAAAACAGAUGCAGUGUUGUCUUGAACUUGUUUGGGCUUUGUUUUGUUGAUGUAAAACUUUAGAACAAAAAGUGAAUUUGCUUUUUUCAACUUUCUAUUGGUUAACUUAAGCUAUGAGUACUAUGCUGGAACUGCAAUUUCCACCUUUGGCAAGAUUUAGUGUUCUUUUAUUUAAUUAAUCCCCUCAAAUCAUGUCAAUAACAAUUCUAUGGCUGUUGGCAAGAAUUUGGAAUUUGUGAAAGAUAA